GGUUUGAUGGUCUAGUAGUAUGAUUCCUUGUUAGGGUUUGCGAGAUACCCUAAGUGAUCUUAAUUAUCGAGGAGGUCCUGGGUUCAAUUCCCAGUCAAGCCC